rnacentral:rRNA from 1 species
AUUGAACGCUGGCGGCAUGCCUUACACAUGCAAGUCGAACGGCAGCGCGGGAGCUUGCUCCUGGUGGCGAGUGGCGAACGGGUGAGUAAUACAUCGGAACGUACCCAGGAGUGGGGGAUAACGUAGCGAAAGUUACGCUAAUACCGCAUAUUCUGUGAGCAGGAAAGCGGGGGAUCGCAAGACCUCGCGCUCUUGGAGCGGCCGAUGUCGGAUUAGCUAGUUGGGGAGGUAAAAGCUCACCAAGGCGACGAUCCGUAGCAGGUCUGAGAGGAUGAUCUGCCACACUGGGACUGAGACACGGCCCAGACUCCUACGGGAGGCAGCAGUGGGGAAUUUUGGACAAUGGGGGCAACCCUGAUCCAGCCAUGCCGCGUGAGUGAAGAAGGCCUUCGGGUUGUAAAGCUCUUUCGGCGGGGAAGAAAUGGCAACGGCUAAUAUCCGUUGUUGAUGACGGUACCCGCAUAAGAAGCACCGGCUAACUACGUGCCAGCCGCCGCGGUAAUAC